AUGAUCACCCCCAAAUCCACACCCAAACACUAUGAUCCUCUUUUCAUUUCUGAACUCAGCAUAGUGCAAGCCAACAAAUGUAAGGCAAGGCUUACCGAGUCCGAUGAUUCUUUGAAGAUGAUGAAGAUGAAGUUGAAUUCCAGUUCAAGUUGUAGCAGGGUAAUUGAAGUAGAUUUUUGGUGUUUUCUUGACAACAAUGGAAAACAAUAUGAUAACAAGAAUAUCAACAGGUUUUUGGGCUUUUUUUGCAGGUCUGUGCAAGGCUGGUCUGUGGGGCUUGUGGAUGGUUGGUGGAAGGUUGUUUUGACAGACUGUUGUAUGCAGGAAUUUGCCAGCAUGGGGCAGAGUUGGUGGACUGGUUUAAUAGCAUGUGUUUGGACUACUUUUUGA